AUUGUGCCCACAAGAGUUUACAGCAACCAACAGACAGUGCCGAAUUGUUAAACGACAAUAUUUCAACAAGAACAUUCGCUGGUUGUCUCCCGGAAAGUAUCUGGAAACGCCAUCAUCCUCAGAGAGACGUCGCUGAAACUUCC